ACUCGCACCAGGAUUAAGACUGCACUAUGAUUCUGCAUGUUUGCUACAGACAAUUUACAACUACUCUCAUUCUGUGCCUCUACCUAUACAUUAUUAUUCUGUAUUUACAUUUCUUUUUCAGUAUCAAAUUUUCACUUCCAUGCAGCACAAAGCAGAACACACAAAGAGCCUCCCAAUUUCUUUCUGUCUCCAUUGUUAGCAUUCCUAUACAAUCUGGAAAGCUUGUGGUUGUAAAUGUAUUUCAAAAUGAUGGCCUACAAAGCACUAAGUUAAUAAACAUUAACGUAAUGCACCAUUUGUAGCGUUUACCACACAAUUCAGCUGGUACAGCAAGAAUAUCAAUUUUGAAGAAAUAUUUUCAGCACUGGAUAUGCUGGAAUUAAAUCUGCGAGAGCUUAAAAAUAAAAGUAAUGAUCUCUGAAAUGUUUAAUACUAAUGAAAAUAUAUUAAGAAAAACAAAGAAAAAAAUGCUUGUCACUCCUUUUCAACUGCAACUCCUGAAAAGUGUUGACUUUUGACCUCAUCAUCUGUGUGACCACAUCUUUGCUCAGGCCUCUGAAGCUGCUGGACAUCUGGCGGCUGGUUGAGGUUAAGACCUGGGAGGGUCGACCAAUUUUGUCCACAUAGGGAGAAGGACAGGAAGUGACAAGCCCUUUUCAGAUGGACAAUGGGAAGAAUGAUGCCCACUGUACUACGCCGGCAUGGUUUCUUUGGCAAUGGUUUGUUCUGCUCACCUCAUUAGCUUUGCCUAAACUUAAGAUGUUAUUGUGCAGAACGCGGCAGCUGUUCAGGAAGCAUGCUGUGACAAAAAAUCCUGAUGAAACUGGACUUGGGGGAUAUUGGGUGCAGAUCUAAUCUCCCUUUCUAAGGAAGCAUAUACUUGUGAUUGAAAAGUGCAACAAAGACACACUUGAUUGAUUCCCAGAACGGACAAAUAACUAUGAGGUGCCUUUUGCUGAUGAUUCAGAUCAGACUGUAGAUUCAAGAGAUUCAAGAGAGAUUCAAGAUGUAACAUCAUUGUUUCAGAAUAAAAAAAAGAUAUCCUGCCAAUACGUGCAUUUAAAACUUAGCCAAUACAGCACCACUGGGCCCACUAAUAGAACUGUCUUUGAAAUAGUCACAUAGGGGCAGCUUGUAAAUGCUUUUAUGGCAUGAACUUCUUUCAGUGGCCCUCAAAGGCCUCUGAAGGAUUGACCAACAUCUGGUGCCUCUUUUCAAAGCACAAUGGGGCACAAAGCACCUUUGGGCCUGAUCACCACUUUGUACAACUGAGAGCAUUAAAACAGGUUCAAACUAAACCUGCUGUGCAAUGGAUGUGGCAUAAUGAAGAAACAACUGUGUUUAUAUUUUGUAAAUUAUAUACCAUCUCAAUAAACAUUUAAAUAAUCUAAUGAGUUUGUAUUGUUGAUUUCCUGCAGCUCUCUUCAGCAUAUGGUUAAGGACCCUGCUGAAUAGUGAAUGUUCAGUGGGUGCAUUUCAAUUUUCAUUUGUUAUUGUCAAGCUUAUGGUUGUGAAUCAACAAAAGAAUCAUGCCCAAUAAGAAGAAACCAUAUGCAUCCAUUGUAUACUUACGUAGUGUUUCUUCCCAUUAUCACAAUUAUGCAAUAGAACAGCUUCAAUGCUAUAAUUUACAUCAAUGCUUUUAUUUUUUUUUCUUUUCUCCUCAAUUAUGGUUCUCCCCAAGUG